GACGAACGCUGGCGGCGUGCUUAACACAUGCAAGUCGAGCGGUAAGGCCCUUUCGGGGGUACACGAGCGGCGAACGGGUGAGUAACACGUGGGUGACCUGCCCUCAGCUCUGGGAUAAGCCUGGGAAACCGGGUCUAAUACUGGAUAUGACUCCAUGACGCAUGUUGUGAGGUGGAAAGCCUUGUGCGGCUGAGGAUGGGCCCGCGGCCUAUCAGCUUGUUGGUGGGGUGAUGGCCUACCAAGGCGACGACGGGUAGCCGGCCUGAGAGGGCGACCGGCCACACUGGGACUGAGACACGGCCCAGACUCCUACGGGAGGCAGCAGUGGGGAAUCUUGCGCAAUGGGCGAAAGCCUGACGCAGCGACGCCGCGUGAGGGAUGAAGGUCUUCGGAUUGUAAA
rnacentral:rRNA from 1 species